rnacentral:rRNA from 1 species
GACGCCGAAUUUUUUCGGUGGCCAUAGCGAAGAGGCUCCACCCGUUCCCAUUCCGAACACGGAAGUUAAGCUCUUCAGCGCCGAUGGUACUGCAUGG